GACGAACGCUGGCGGCGUGCCUAAUACAUGCAAGUCGAACGCAGGGGGGACGGGUGAGGAACACGUGGGUAACCUCCCAUCAGAGGGGAUAACACUUGGAAACAGGUGCUAAACCGAUACUGAUGGAUGGACCCGCGGUGCAUUAGCUAGUUGGUGGGGUAACGGCUCACCAAGGCCACGAUGCAUAGCCGACCUGAGAGGGUGAUCGGCCACACUGGAACUGAGACACGGCCCAGACUCCUACGGGAGGCAGCAGUGGGGAAUAUUCGGCAAUGGACGAAAGUCUGACGCAGCAACGCCGCGUGAGUGAAGAAGGUUUUCGGAUUGUAAAGCUCUUUUGUUGGAGAAGCGGUAUCUAAACAGAAAGCCACGGCUAACUACGUGCCAGCAGCCGCGGUAAUUC
rnacentral:rRNA from 1 species